rnacentral:rRNA from 1 species
UAUUUUUAAAGGGCCGCGGUAUACUGACCGUGCGAAGGUAGCAUAAUCAUUAGUCUUUUAAUUGAAGGCUUGUAUGAAUGGUUGGACAAAAAGUAAUCUGUCUCAAUUGUAAUAGUUGAACUUAACUUUUAAGUGAAAAGGCUUAAAUACUUUAAGGGGACGAUAAGACCCUAUAAAACUUGACAAUAAAUUAGUUAAAUUAUAAAUUGUUAGUAUAACUUGAUCUUAAUUAAUGUUUGUUGCGUUGGGGCGACGAGAAUAUAAUUAGUAACUGUUCUUAAAUACUUAUUAACAAGUAUAAUUGAAAAAUAAUUGAUCCUUUAUUAAAGAUUAAAAGAUUAAGUUACUUUAGGGAUAACAGCGUAAUCUUCUUUGAGAGUCCUCAUCGACAAGAAGGUUUGCGACCUCGAUGUUGAAUUAAGGUAUCCUUAUAAUGCAG